rnacentral:rRNA from 1 species
GAUGAACGCUGGCGGCGUGCCUAACACAUGCAAGUCGAGCGAACAGACGAGGAGCUUGCUCCUCUGACGUUAGCGGCGGACGGGUGAGUAACACGUGGCUAACCUCCCUAUAAUACUGGGCUAACUUCGGGACUCCGGCGCUAAUCCCGGCUAAUAUAUUGAACCGCAUGGUUCAAUAGUGAACGACGGUUUUGCUGUCACUUAUCUAUGGAUCCGCGCCGCAUUAGCUAGUUGGUAAGGUCACGGCUUACCAAGGCAACGAUGCGUAGCCGACGUGAGAGGAUGAUCGGCCACACGGGAACUGAGACACGGUCCAGACUACUGCGAGAGGCAGCAGUAGGGAAUCGUCCGCAAUGGGCGAAAGCCUGACGGAGCAAGGCCGCGUGAGUGAUGAAGGUCUUCGGAUCGUAAAACUCUGUUAUGAGGGAAGAACAAAUGUCUAAGUAAAUAUGCACGAAGUGACGGUACCUAAACAGAAAGCGACGGCUAACUACGUG